rnacentral:rRNA from 1 species
AACGUAGGGGACAAGCGUUAUCCGGAUUUACUGGGCGUAAAGCGCCCGUAGGCGGCCUGACAAGUUGGACGUGAAAGCUCCUGGCUUAACUGGGAGAGGCCGUUCAAAACUGUCAAGCUAGAGUCUGGAAGAGGAGAGCGGAAUUCCCGGUGUAGUGGUGGAAUGCGUAGAGAUCGGGAGGAACACCAGUGGCGAAAGCGGCUCUCUGGUCCAAAACUGACGCUGAGGGGCGAAAGC